UACAGAGGUCUCAAGCGUUGUUCGGAUUCAUUGGGCGUGAAAGGGUGCGUAGGCGGCGCGGUAAGUCGGGUGUGAAAUCUCGGGGCUUAACUCCGAAACUGCAUUCGAUACUGCCGUGCUUGAGGACUGGAGAGGAGACUGGAAUUUACGGUGUAGCGGUGAAAUGCGUAGAUAUCGUAAGGAAGACCAGUGGCGAAGGCGGGUCUCUGGACAGUUCCUGACGCUGAGGCACGAAGGCCAGGGGAGCAAACGGG
rnacentral:rRNA from 1 species